AGCUCACAGACCAAUCAGGAAACAGUUCAGUACAUCCAGGAAAAGAUCAGUAAGAAAGUGUCUCCAGAGAAAAGCAUCAAUCUGUUCCACUGUCUGAAUGAACUGAAUGAUCGUUCUCUAGUGGAGAAGAUCCAACAGUCUCUGAGAUGGAGAACUUUCUCUACAGAUAAACUGUCUCCUGCUCAGUGGUCAGCUCUGGGUUUCAUCUUAGUGUCAUCAGGAAAAGAUCUGGAUGUGUUUGACCUGAAGAAAUACUCUGCUUCAGAGGAGGCUCUUCUGAGGCUGCUGCCAGUGGUUAAAGCCUCCAACAAAGCUCUACUGAGUGGCUGUAACCUCU